rnacentral:rRNA from 1 species
CCUACGGGAGGCAGCAGUGGGGAAUCUUGCGCAAUGGGCGAAAGCCUGACGCAGCAACGCCGCGUGCGGGAAGAAGGCUUUCGGGCUGUAAACCGCUUUCAGCAGGAACGAAAAUGACGGUACCUGCAGAAGAAGGAGCGGCCAACUAUGUGCCAGCAGCCGUGGUGAUACAUAGGCUUCAAGCGUUGUCCGGAUUUAUUGGGCGUAAAGAGUUCGUAGGCGGUCAAGUAAGUCGGGUGUGAAAAUUCUGGGCUCAACCCAGAGACGCCACCCGAUACUGCUUAACUUGAGUUCGAUAGGGGAGUGGGGAAUUCCUAGUGUAGCGGUGAAAUGCGCAGAUAUUAGGAGGAACACCGGUGGCGAAGGCGCCACUCUGGAUCGAUACUGACGCUGAGGAACGAAAGCAUGGGUAGCAAACAGGAUUAGAUACCCUGGUAGUCCAUGCCGUAAACGGUGGGCACUAGGUGUGGGUUUCUAUUAACGAAAUCCGCGCCGUCGCUAACGCAUUAAGUGCCCCGCCUGGGGAGUACGGUCGCAAGCUAAAACUUAAAGAUAGUCGCGUGNGAGNGUGACGAGACGACGAGAGGAG